rnacentral:lncRNA from 1 species
CGGACAUUGGGACACUGAUGAGGUCGGGUGAGCCCACACUGGGGCACUAUGAUGAGGCCGGGUGAGUGCACUCUGGGACACUAUGAUGAGGCCAGGUGAAUGCACACUUGGACACUAUGAUGAGGCCCAGUGAGCCCACAAUGGGACACUAUGAUGAGGCCGGGUGAGUGCACACUGGGACACUAUGAUGAGGCUAGGUGAGCGGACACUGGGACACUAUGAUGAGGCCGGGUGAGCCCACACUGGGGCACUAUGAUGAGGGUAGGUGAGUGCACACUGGGAUGCUAUGAUUCGAUUGUUUUAUCAGGAAUGAUAGUUUAAGUUUGGAGAAUAGUUGAAGCAAAUGCUUUAAGGAAC